UCGUUUGCUUGCGAAACACGACCGUUGCACGCGUGAUCGAAUGCUGCCGGGGGGCGACGCCCCCCCGGCUCACCGGCCUCGGCCCUCACGCCCUCCGGGCGCGUUCGUCGUGUGCCGAAUACGGCGCGGGUUGACGCCAAGGAACACGAGAUUGCUGAGGCGGCAUGCCGGGCGCCGAGGCGUGCGGCCUGCCCGCCGAUGCAGAGGAACAC
rnacentral:misc_RNA from 1 species